rnacentral:rRNA from 1 species
UUCGACCUGAACUCAGACGUGGUUACCCGCUG